CGAGAGGACCGUGUUGGACUGACCUCUGGUUUACCGGUUGUGGCGCCAGCCGCACCGCCGGGUAGCUAAGUCGGGAUCGGAUAAGCGCUGAAAGCAUCUAAGUGCGAAGCCGGCCACAAGAUUAGAUUUCCUUAUUAGGGUCGUUGUAGACGACAACGUUGAUAGGGUGCAGGUGUAAAGACGGUGACGUCAAAGCCGAGCACUACUAAUCGCCCGAAACUUUCCUUCC
rnacentral:rRNA from 1 species